rnacentral:rRNA from 1 species
UUCCCAUCUUGUGGUUUCACAGGUUGCACAUGGCAAUGACAGCGCCAUGCCCGAGCUCCUUUCCCCUUUCUGUUAGUUCAUCUCUAUCUCUUAGUGAGGCCCACAAAUGGCGCUGCCCACCACCAUCCGCAGAUGUAUCCUUGACGCCUCAGUGAAGUCAUUUCCCUAAGAUGAACCUUGAGUCAGAAAAGCCUUUCUGACUAGGACGUGCCUGGGCCCCUAAGCUACUGGCGCUUCAAAAGGUGAAACUCUCGUCGUAGUUUGGUGACCUAAGAACAAAGAAGUCAGCUGUUCAGGCAGUGGCAGAGCAAGCAAGGGGCAAAGCCAGUGGUAGCAAUGUCAAAACACUCGUUGUUGAGGGUGGGUUUUCUUUUAGAAAAAGCAAUUGUUGAAGAAGCAAAGAAAACUACACAAAGCAACAAGAGAGCGCACUAGUGCGAAAGCCGUUGCGCGGUAGCACAUUCGUUUUCUUACUGCGCGCUAGUGAGAAAGUCGUUGCGUGGUAGCGUAUACGUUUUCUUGCUGGGAAAAAAACAAACCAACGAAUGCAAGCAAGAAAACGAAUUCACAACGCGUUAGCACCGUUGCUUCUUGCUUUCGGGCCUACGCUUGCUAGCAUUUUGCUCUUGCAAAGCAAUCACUCGUUAGAGAGAGUGCUUUGAUGUUACUUCCCACUCGGUCUUAGCUUUUGGGCAAAAGCAAAAAGGGCUCUUGACUACUUGGGCUUUGAUAAGACUUAGCUAACCUAACGACUGAAUCGCGUAGUGAAAAGGGCUCUUUAUUACGUACUUGGUUUGGUUGGGCUUUGAUGUUGCGUUAACGACUGAACUUACUGAGGCUUUGCUCAUUGCAUCAAAGCAGCACUCUAUUGGGCAGCAGCAAAAAUCCCUCAAGAGGGCUUUGACAAGACUUAGCUAACUCGCUGGGGCUCGUUGGCUACAAAGCAAAUCGCUUAUGAGGGCUUUGUAAAAAGGAAAGCUCUUGUUUGAGAGUGCCCAGCAAAGCACUCGUAAGCGAUUUCUUUUUUUACAGCAAAAAGCCUUGCUAAUAGUUUGACCUUGCUAUGUGGAGUAGAAUGAAUGAGCUAGGCGGAUGCUUUGAGUUUUUUAAAGGAGAAGAUGGGAGAAGACUCGGCCCAGCGACGCUCUUUCCCAUAGGUGAGCUUCGACUCUGCACACCUGCUGACACCUUUAUAAGCACGUUCUAGUGUGAACCCUUCGGUCUCCUUUCUCAUUUAAGUGCUCGCCUUUUGAAUCUUCAGUAGGGACCUUUAGUCUUAGAAUAGGGGUGGCGAGAGAGCAGAGCGUACCACCCUGCCAUAGUCGCGAGUCUGUUUAUAAUCGCGAGUCUGUUUAUAGUUGCGACUAUUGUCAUAUUGAUAAAGGCUUUCAACUUUCAGGAAAAAACUUCGAAUUGGGAGGGUGAUCCUCCCGGUGAUCUGACCGUGCCCCAAACCGACACAGGUGAACAAGUUGAGUAUACUAGAGCGCUCGAGAGAAAACCAUGUCGAAGGAACUCGGCACAAUGAUCCCGUAACUUUGAGAUAAGGGGUGCUCUCCUAUCUUUUGAUUAGGAAAGCGACACUUACUAAGGGGUAGUGACUGUUUAUUAAAAACACAAGACUCUGCUAAGUGGUAAUAAGAUGUAUAGAGUCUGACACCUGCCCCAUGCUGGAAGGUCGGAAGGAGAAGUCUUAUAAGCUUUGAAUGGAAUCCCCGGUAAACGGCAUCAGUAACUCUAACUGUCCUAAGGUAUUGAAAUUCCUUGUCGCAUAAGUAGCGACCUGCACGAAUGGUGUAAUGACUGCCUUGCUGUCUUCGACAUGGACCCGGUGAAAUUGAAUUCUCUGUGAAGAUACGAAAUACCAACGGCUAGACCCCAUGCACCUUGACUAUAGCUUCACAGUGACAACCUUGAUCGAAUGUGUAGGAUAGGUGGGAGGUGGUGACACAGAUCUCCCAAUCCUGAAAGACCACUCUUUCAUCUAAGGAUGCCAAACAGCCACAUCGAUCAUUCGGGGGGGGGGGGGGGACAUUGUGAGGUGGGUAGUUUAUCUGGGGCAGAUGCCUCCUAAAGAGUAACGGAGGUGUGCGAAGGUAGGCUCAAGCUAAGAUUAUGCUCGUGAACGUAAUGGGAUAAGCCUCCCUGACUGUGAGACCGACUGGUUGAAAAGAGACGAAAGUCGGCCAUAGUGAUCCGAGGGUCCCGUGUGGAAGAGCUUUUCUCAACAGAUCAAAGGUAUGCCAAGGAUAACAGGCUUAUGACUCCCAAUAGCUCUUAUCGACGGAGUCAUUUGGCACCUUGAUGUCAACUCAUCACAUCAUGGGGUUGAAGAAGGUCUCAAGGGUUCGAUUAUUCACUUAUUAAAGUGGUAUGUGAGUUGGGUUUAGAAUGUCGUGAGACAGUUCAGUUCCUAUCUACCGUUGGUGUUAAAGAGUACGAGAGGACUGGGUUGGGCCAAUCUAUGGUGAAGCGGUUGUUAUGCCAAUAACAGCGCCGGGCAGCUAAGUUGGUAUGAAAGAACUGCUGUGCCGCAUCUGAGCUGAGCUAUAGACUCACUCUCAAAGCCACGAGAGGAGUUUACAUCAGUUUAAUCACUCGUUGUUUUAAACGUUGGAAAUCCUUCUCUAUACAAGUUCUUGUACAACGUUUUUAACAGAACUUCAAUAGGCGAGAGGUGUAAGCAC